rnacentral:rRNA from 1 species
UAACGUAGGGUGCAAGCGUUGUCCGGAAUUAUUGGGCGUAAAGAGCUCGUAGGCGGUUUGUCGCGUCUGCUGUGAAAACUCGGGGCUUAACUCCGGGCCUGCAGUGGGUACGGGCAGACUAGAGUGCGGUAGGGGAGACUGGAAUUCCUGGUGUAGCGGUGAAAUGCGCAGAUAUCAGGAGGAACACCGGUGGCGAAGGCGGGUCUCUGGGCCGUAACUGACGCUGAGGAGCGAAAGCGUGGGGAGCGAACAGG